GAUGAACGCUGGCGGCGUGCCUAAUACAUGCAAGUCGAGCGAACAGACGAGGAGCUUACUCCUCUGACGUUAGCGGCGGACGGGUGAGUAACACGUGGAUAACCUACCUAUAAGACUGGGAUAACUUCGGGAAACCGGAGCUAAUACCGGAUAACAUGUUGAACCGCAUGGUUCAACAGUGAAAGACGGUCUUGCUGUCACUUAUAGAUGGAUCUGCGUCGCAUUAGCUAGUUGGUAAGGUAACGGCUUACCAAGGCAACGAUGCGUAGCCGACCUGAGAGAGUGAGCAGACAGUCAGGAAGUGAGGCAGGAAGCUGACUCCUGCGGGAGGCAGCAGUGGGAAAUCUGCCGAAAAGGACGAAAGCCUGACGAAGCAACGCAGGGUGAAUGAAGAAGGUCUUCUGAUCGUAAAACUCUGUUAUUAGGGAAGAACAAUUGUGUUAGUGCCUAUGAACGUCGUGACGGUACCGAAUCAGAAAGCCACGGCUAACUACGUG
rnacentral:rRNA from 1 species